GACGAACGCUGGCGGCGCGCUUAACACAUGCAAGUCGAACGGAAAGGCCUGCUUUCCCUUGUGGAUUGCGGGUACUCGCGUGGCGAACGGGUGAGUAACACGUGAGUGAUCUGCCCCCAACUUGGGUAUAAGCCUGGGAAACUGGGUCUAAUUCCCGAUAGGACUGCAGGGUGGUGCCUGUGGUGGAAAACGAUUUUCUAGUGGUUGGGGAUGAGCUCGCGGCCUAUCAGCUUGUUGGUGGGGUAAUGGCCUACCAAGGCGGCGACGGGUAGGCGGCCUGGGGGGGUGGACGGGCACAGUGGGACUGAGAUACGGCCCAGACUACUACGGGAGGCAGCAGUGGGGAAUAUGGCACAAUGGGCGGAAGCCUGAUGCAGCGACGCCGCGUGGGGGAUGACGGGCUUGGGGUGGUAACCUCCUUUCGACCGCGAGGAAGCCACCUGGUUGGAAGGGUGGUGACGGUAGUGGUAGAAGAAGCACCGGCUAACUACGUG
rnacentral:rRNA from 1 species